CUCAGAGCUGUAAAUCACACCACUAAAUCUGCCAUGAGCAACAGAGGCUGCUGGAAGGAAGAGAAAGAAAGUGUGGUGUUGACUCUCAGUUUCUGGUACACGCUGGGUGUGCUGGAGCUGCCAGGAGCCUCUCCUGAGCCUCAUCUCUAUUCCAGCCAUGAUCUGUUGGCCCUUCUACUGGCAAAGCGACCAAGUCUCUGUCCGCUUGCAACUGUAGACUGCAGUAGGCAUGGUAGGACAGAUCAAGGAGAUGGGUACUGCCCACCUUGUAGCUAGAUCUCUGAAGACUUGACCUUGCAACCACCUUCACCCUUUUUUCUUCUCCAGGUGCUGGAGUUGUGGAGACUUUGCUGGGAAGCUGGGUGGUUAGAGCGCUGUAGAGAACUCAGAAAAGCAGGUUAAGAUCCAAAUUGGACUCUUCGCUUACCUGCAAUAAGAUGUGUGAUUUUAGCAAAACUUUAAAACUCUCUAGAUCAUGAUCUCCUCAUCUGUUUGGAG
rnacentral:lncRNA from 1 species